rnacentral:rRNA from 1 species
AAAACGACUCUCGGCAACGGAUAUCUCGGCUCUCGCAUCGAUGAAGAACGUAGCGAACUGCGAUACUUGGUGUGAAUUGCAGAAUCCCGUGAANCAUCGAGUCUUUGAACGCAAGUUGCGCCCAAAGCCAUUAGGCCGAGGGCACGUCUGCCUGGGCGUCACG